CUACGGGUGGCUGCAGUGAGGAAUAUUGCACAAUGGGGGGAACCCUGAUGCAGCAACGCCGCGUGGAGGAUGACGCAUUUCGGUGUGUAAACUCCUUUUAUAUGUCAAGAAAAUGACGGUAGCAUAUGAAUAAGCACCGGCUAACUCCGUGCCGAGCAGCCGCGGUAAUACGGAGGGUGCAAGCGUUACUCGGAAUCACUGGGCGUAAAGGACGCGUAGGCGGGUUGGAAAGUCAGGUGUGAAAUCCUACAGCUUAACUGUAGAACUGCACUUGAAACUUCUAAUCUAGAGUAUGGGAGGGGGAGAUGGAAUUAGUGGUGUAGGGGUAAAAUCCGUAGAUAUCACUAGGAAUACCUAAAGCGAAGGCGAUCUCCUGGAACAUUACUGACGCUAAGGCGUGAAAGCGUGGGGAGCAAACAGGAUUAGAUACCCCAGUAGUC
rnacentral:rRNA from 1 species